rnacentral:rRNA from 1 species
UACGUAGGGCGCAAGCGUUUAUCCGGAAUUAUUGGGCGUAAAGAGCUCGUAGGCGGUUUGUCGCGUCUGCCGUGAAAGUCCGGGGGCUCAACUCCGGAUCUGCGGUGGGUACGGGCAGACUAGAGUGCGGUAGGGGGAGAUUGGAAUUCCUGGUGUAGCGGUGGAAUGCGCAGAUAUCAGGAGGAACACCGAUGGCGAAGGCAGAUCUCUGGGCCGUAACUGACGCUGAGGAGCGAAAGCAUGGGGGAGCGAACAGG